rnacentral:rRNA from 1 species
GACGAACGCUGGCGGCGUGCUUAACACAUGCAAGUCGAGCGGUAAGGCCCUUUCGGGGGUACGACGAGCGGCGAACGGGUGAGUAACACGUGGGUGACCUGCCCUCAGCUCUGGGAUAAGCCUGGGAAACUGGGUCUAAUACUGGAUAUGACUCCACGGUGCAUGUCGUGGGGUGGAAAGCCUUGUGCGGCUGAGGAUGGGCCCGCGGCCUAUCAGCUU